AAAACGACUUCCGGCAACGGAUAUCUCGGCUCUCGCAUCGAUGAAGAACGUAGCGAAAUGCGAUACUUGGUGUGAAUUGCAGAAUCCCGUGAACCAUCGAGUCUUUGAACGCAAGUUGCGCCCAAGCCAUUAGGCCGAGGGCACGUCUGCAUGGGCGUCACAC
rnacentral:rRNA from 1 species